UAAGGAAUAUUGGUCAAUGGACGCAAGUCUGAACCAGCCAUGCCGCGUGAAGGAUGGAGGUCCUCUGGAUUGUAAACUUCUUUUAUCUGGGACGAAAACGGGAUUUUUAUCUCAAUUGACGGUACCAGAGGAAUAAGCACCGGCUAACUCCGUGCCAGCAGCCGCGGUAAUACGGAGGGUGCGAGCGUUAUCCGGAUUUACUGGGUUUAAAGGGCGCGCAGGCGGGAUAAAAGUCAGUGGUGAAAUCCUACAGCUUAACUGUAGAACUGCCUUUGAUACUUUUAUUCUUGAGUUCGGGAGAGAGACGGAAUUCCAGGUGUAGUGGUGAAAUACGUAGAUAUCUGGAAGAACACCAGUUGCGAAGGCGGUCUCUUGGUCCGACACUGACGCUUAGGCGCGAAAGCGUGGGGAGCAAACA
rnacentral:rRNA from 1 species